ACAGGAUGUUGGAGGAACUGGCUCUUUCUUUAAACAAAAUACUCCAGAAGUUAUUAACGAGGAAGGAGCAGAAAAUUCCUAUAUUAUCCGAAGUUUUUAAGCAGAAGGUAAUCUGUUUUCUGCAGUACCAAAAUGAACAAGUCAGCGCUUUCUGUUUUGCUUCUCAUCGGACUUCUGGUCCUCACCGAUAUAAAUUAUGCUGCGGUGAGCCGUCGUCGCCGUCUGCGUUACAUUACAUUUCUGUGUCGUCGACCCGACAAUCCUAAUGCGUAUCUUUGUCGUCGAAGAUCGGGGUAUAACCAACGAAAACAAGUUCAAGACACGGACUUCAACUUCAACCUCGAAGAAGAAGAGUAAUAUUUAAAAGAAUUAUUACUUUUCACUAAAAAAACUAAUCGUAUGCUUUAAUAAAUUGAAUAAUAAGGUGC